AACGAACGCUGGCGGCAUGCCUAACACAUGCAAGUCGAACGAUGCCUUCGGGCAUAGUGGCGCACGGGUGCGUAACGCGUGGGAAUCUGCCCUUCGGUUGGGAAUAACUCAGGGAAACUUGAGCUAAUACCUUAUAAUGUCUUCGGACCAAAGAUUUAUCGCCGAGGGAUGAGCCCGCGUAGGAUUAGCUAGUUGGUGGGGUAAUGGCCUACCAAGGCGACGAUCCUUAGCUGGUCUGAGAGGAUGAUCAGCCACACUGGGACUGAGACACGGCCCAGACUCCUACGGGAGGCAGCAGUGGGGAAUAUUGGACAAUGGGCGAAAGCCUGAUCCAGCAAUGCCGCGUGAGUGAUGAAGGCCUUAGGGUUGUAAAGCUCUUUUACCAGGGAUGAUAAUGACAGUACCUGGAGAAUAAGCUCCGGCUAACUCCGUGCCAGCCGCCGCAGUAA
rnacentral:rRNA from 1 species